AUUGAACGCUGGCGGCAUGCUUUACACAUGCAAGUCGAACGGUAACAGGGUGCUUGCACCGCUGACGAGUGGCGAACGGGUGAGUAAUGCGUCGGAACGUGCCGAGUAGUGGGGGAUAACGCAGCGAAAGUUGUGCUAAUACCGCAUACGUACUGAGGUAGAAAGUGGGGGACCUUCGGGCCUCACGCUAUUCGAGCGGCCGACGUCUGAUUAGCUAGUAGGUGAGGUAAGAGCUCACCUAGGCGACGAUCAGUAGCGGGUCUGAGAGGAUGAUCCGCCACACUGGGACUGAGACACGGCCCAGACUCCUACGGGAGGCAGCAGUGGGGAAUUUUGGACAAUGAGCGCAAGCCUGAUCCAGCCAUGCCGCGUGUCUGAAGAAGGCCUUCGGGUUGUAAAGGACUUUUGUCGGGGAGGAAAUCCUAGUGGCUAAUAACUGCUGGGGAUGACAGUACCUGAAGAAUAAGCACCGGCUAACUACGUGCCAGCCGCCGCAGUAACAC
rnacentral:rRNA from 1 species